rnacentral:rRNA from 1 species
UACGUAGGGGGCGAGCGUUGUCCGGAAUUAUUGGGCGUAAAGAGCUCGUAGGCGGUUUGUCGCGUCUGCCGUGAAAGUCCGGGGCUCAACUCCGGAUCUGCGGUGGGUACGGGCAGACUAGAGUGAUGUAGGGGAGACUGGAAUUCCUGGUGUAGCGGUGAAAUGCGCAGAUAUCAGGAGGAACACCGAUGGCGAAGGCAGGUCUCUGGGCAUGAACUGACGCUGAGGAGCGAAAGCAUGGGGAGCGAACAGG